UACGGGGGGGGCAAGCGUUGUUCGGAAUUACUGGGCGUAAAGGGCUCGUAGGUGGCCAACUAAGUCAGACGUGAAAUCCCUCGGCUUAACCGGGGAACUGCGUCUGAUACUGGAUGGCUUGAGUUUGGGAGAGGGAUGCGGAAUUCCAGGUGUAGCGGUGAAAUGCGUAGAUAUCCGGAGGAACACCAGUGGCGAAGGCGACUUCCUGGCCUGUUCUUGACGCUGAGGCGCGAAAGCUGGGGGAGCAAACGGG
rnacentral:rRNA from 1 species